UACGUAGGGUGCAAGCGUUAUCCGGAAUUAUUGGGCGUAAAGAGCUCGUAGGCGGUUUGUCGCGUCUGCUGUGAAAACUGGAGGCUCAACCUCCAGCCUGCAGUGGGUACGGGCAGACUAGAGUGCGGUAGGGGAGACUGGAAUUCCUGGUGUAGCGGUGAAAUGCGCAGAUAUCAGGAGGAACACCGGUGGCGAAGGCGGGUCUCUGGGCAGUAACUGACGCUGAGGAGCGAAAGCGUGGGGAGCAAACAGG
rnacentral:rRNA from 1 species